GAAAUCGAUAAGAAAGAUAUUUCUGAACCUCAACCAAACCAAUCCACUGAAAAUCCAUUUCCCGCUAUGAACCAGCACAAGAAGCAGAAGCACCAACACUCACUACCUAGCUUCUAAUCUCUGGAAACUUGCAACACUCUUUGCAUAGCAUAGCAUAAGAUUUUCUCUUUUCAACAAACCCCUUCUCCUCCAAAAUGGCUUCUCUUACUACCUCUCUCCCUCUCCUCUUUCACCGCCCAAAAUUAACCACACUUUCCGUUUCUGCUUCAGCGCUCUCUGCUUCAGGUAGUGAUGGAUCUAAUUCUAGAGCACCUCACAAAAGAAGGAGAAGAAUUGAAGGUCCAAGAAAAAGUAUGGAAGAUUCUGUUCAACGCAAGAUGGAACAAUUUUACGAAGGAACUGAUGGACCGCCGUUACGCGUUCUCCCUAUUGGUGGUUUGGGUGAAAUUGGAAUGAAUUGUAUGCUUGUAGGGAAUCAUGACCGUUAUAUCCUCAUUGAUGCUGGUAUCAUGUUUCCUGACUAUGAUGACCUUGGAGUACAAAAGAUUAUACCGGAUACUACGUUUAUACGAAAAUGGAGCCACAAAAUCGAAGCGCUUGUUAUAACACAUGGUCAUGAAGAUCAUAUCGGUGCGUUGCCUUGGGUCAUCCCAGCAUUGGAUUCAAGUACACCAAUUUUUGCAUCUUCCUUUACAAUGGAGCUUAUAAAAAAACGUUUGAAGGAGCAUGGUAUUUUUCUUCCAUCUAGACUAAAAAUAUUUAGAACAAAGAACAAGUUUGUGGCUGGCCCAUUUGAGAUAGAACCUAUCCGGGUGACUCAUUCUAUUCCUGACUGUUGCGGACUAGUUCUUCGAUGUUCCGACGGUACUAUUCUUCACACUGGGGAUUGGAAGAUUGACGAGACACCACUUGAUGGGAAAGUUUUUGAUCGAGAGGGUUUAGAGGAACUCUCUAAAGAAGGAGUAACAUUGAUGAUGAGUGAUUCAACAAAUGUGCUCUCGCCUGGAAGGACAACCAGUGAAUCUGCUGUGGCAGAUGCAUUAUUGAGGCAUAUUUCAGCUUCUAAAGGAAGGGUCAUCACAACCCAGUUUGCAUCAAAUCUUCAUCGGAUUGGAAGUGUGAAAGCUGCUGCUGAUUUAACUGGCAGAAAGUUGGUAUUUGUUGGAAUGUCUUUAAGGACAUACUUAGAGGCAGCUUGGAAGGAUGGAAAGGCUCCAUUUGAUCCAUCCACUCUGGUGAAGGCAGAGGAUAUCGAUGCUUAUGCACCUAAGGAUCUGCUGAUUGUAACAACAGGUUCUCAAGCAGAACCACGUGCUGCCUUAAAUCUUGCAUCGUUUGGAAGUAGCCAUGCUUUCAAACUAAGCAAGGAAGAUGUUGUUUUGUAUUCAGCUAAGGUUAUCCCUGGUAAUGAGUCUCGUGUGAUGGAAAUGCUAAAUCGCAUAUCCGAGAUUGGAUCAACAAUAGUUAUGGGAAAAAAUGAAGGUUUGCACACAUCUGGUCAUGCAUAUCGUGGAGAGUUGGAGGAAGUACUUAGAAUAGUUAAGCCACAACAUUUUCUUCCUGUACAUGGAGAAUACUUGUUCCUGAAGGAGCAUGAGUCACUCGGAAAAUCGACUGGCAUUCGGCAUACUGCUGUUAUUAAGAAUGGAGAGAUGCUUGGUGUUUCACAUUUGAGAAAUAGAAGGGUUCUUUCUAAUGGUUUCAUUUCCCUUGGAAAAGAGAAUUUGCAGUUGAAAUAUAGUGACGGCGACAAAGCAUUUGGUACAUCUAAUGAACUCUUCAUUGAUGAAAGAUUGAGAAUUGCGUUAGAUGGCAUCAUUGUGAUUAGCAUUGAAAUAUUUCGCCCCAAAAAUUUAGAAACUUUUGCUGAAAGCACCUUAAAAGGGAAGAUAAGAAUUACUACAAGAUGCCUAUGGCUUGAUAAAGGGAAGCUGCUAGAUGCACUAUAUAAAGCUGCUCAUGCAGCUCUUUCCAGCUGUCCCGUUAAAAGUCCACUGGCUCACGUGGAAAGAACUGUGUCUGAGGUGUUGAGGAAGAUGGUGAGGAAGUACAGUGGUAAACGGCCUGAAGUAAUUGCCAUUGCCAUAGAAAAUCCUGGAGCUGUUCUUUCUGAUGAGGUAAACAAAAAAUUGUCUGGGAAAUCCCACGUUGGUCCAGAAAUAUCAACAAUACGAAAAGCAGUGGAUGAAAAUAGAAAGGAAAGCCAGUCCACCACGCCGCAAAUAAGAGUGCAGAUGAUGACAUUGAUAUUGAAGGACUAUUACCAGAGAAAGACACCACUGCAAGUGGCGCUGAGGGCGACUUAACUGGUUCAGAGGAUACAGAUGAAUUUUGGAAGCCAUUCAUUGCAUCAUCAGUUGAGAAAUCAAUCAAAGCUAACAAUGGUUAUGUUUCACGAAAGGAGCAUAAGUCCAAUCUGAAGAAAGAUGAUUCUGAAGACAUUGAAGAAGCCAAGUCUGAAGAAAUGUCUAAUGCUGAGCCAGAGUCUCCAAAAACAGUUAGGAAAAAUAAAUGGAAAGCUGAGGAAGUUAAGAAGCUGAUUGGUUUGCGGAGUGACCUACGUGACAGAUUUAAAGUUGUGAAGGGAAGGAUGAUUCUUUGGGAAGAGAUAUCCCAGAGCUUGUUGGCUGACGGGAUCCGCAGAAGUCCUGCACAAUGCAAGUCUCUGUGGAGAUCUUUGGUACUGACAUACGAGGAGAUCAAGAAUGGGAAGGACAGCAGAAAAAAUUGGCAAUAUCUUGAGGACAUGGAAAGGAUACUGUCUAACGAUGAAGCACCCACAAAAAAUUGAUUGGAAAUGUGGUGGAUAAGAUAAGAAAUAUUUUGGAAAGGUUUUCUGCAUUCAAAAAAUGAUCACAAGUCUGAGCUCGGUGACCAAUAAGAUAUUCCAUCAAUUGCAUAAUUCUAGUAACAUGGAUCAUUGGCCUUGAAUAUCCAUAACUUUUUGAGGGCUACGGGAAUAUGCAACAUAAAAGGGAUUGGCCUUGUUACUACACAGGCUAGGCUGACAACGAAAAAGGUAUAUCGGUUUAGGAAGUACAAUUUAUUCUCCACUUCCAAAACUUGCUUCCCUUUUUUGUUUCUGUUGUCUAAUAUGUAUGUUAUAACUAAUUAUUUUUAUUACUGCUGUUAGUGGCACGUUUUGGGUGCCACAAGCAACUAUGUAAAUUUCUUCUUCUGCGAUUGGCCAUAGAAUAACAUUGACGGUGAAGGGAAAAUCUUGAUAUUACUUGCUGGUGUUGAUAGUUGAA